CUGAAAACAUGAGUAUGUUACAGUCAGUCUUAAGUUUGCAAUUAAUAUUGUGAAUGAAUUGUAAUUAACAUUGAUUUUAAAACAGAUCCUUUUCCAAGACCGUACCCACAAUGUCGUUGAGUGAACCCAUCACCGCUAACAUCCCACGUUAAGAAGAUCGAUCUUAAAAGUUGCUGCACUUUAACUGCCCGUCCAUCGAUCGAAAAGCGAGCAAAAUCUGUAUAAACUACAAAUUUGAUUGUAAAUGUUGAAGAAUUGUAAUAGAAUGAAAUUAAAAACAGAUAUAAAGAAAAUAAUACUAGAUGUAGUGAGAGAAUAAAAAGAAAUAAUUUAAAUGAAAAUGUAUCAUCAAACGAUUGACUCAAUUGCAAGCAAUUAUUUCCAUUCUCAAGUUAUUUAUCCGUUUCAGGUCAUUGUGAGUCGAUUCAGACGCUCCUUAUUUGAUGAUAAAAAUUCCCCGCACACCCACACUUAAAAAUUUUCUAUCAGCUGACCCAGCGCAGGCGUUGACAAAAAAAAAAGUACUCCUGAGAGUGAAGUUAUUUAUCCGUUUCAGGUCAUUUUGAGUCGAUUCAGACGCUCCUUAUUUGAUGAUAAAAAAAUUCCCCGCGCACCCACACUUAGAAAAUUGUUCACUAACUUACCCGGCGCAGGCGUUGACCAAAAAAAAAAGUACUCCUGAGAGUCAAGUUAUUUAUCCGUUUCAGAUCAUUUUGAGUCGAUUCAGACGCUCCUUAUUUGAUGAUAAAAACUUCCCCGCACAAACACACUUAGAAAUUUCCUAUCAGCUGACCCAGCGCAGGCGUUUAGCAAAAGAAAGAAGUACUCCUGAAAGUCGUUAUUUAUCCGUUUCAGGUCAUUUUGAGUCGAUUCAGAUGCUCCUUAUUUGAUGAUAAAAAAAUUCCCCGCGCACACACACUUAGAAAAUUGUUCACUAACUUACCCGGCGCAGGCGUUGACCAAAAA